GUUGGUGGCAUGAAGGAGAGUACGAGUUGUACAUUUCAUCACCUGGUUGGUAGCAUGAAGAUGAGUUCCUUCUUCACAUUUCAUCACCUGGUUGGUGAGAAUAAGGGCAAGGUGUCGAGGCACAUUGUAGCAAGUGUCGAAGACACAAAGUAUGUUGAACCCUUUCGAAACACAGUCGGCUUAUGUAUGGAUGUGUUGGAAUGUAUGAUGCUUAUGUAUGAAUGUGUUGGAAUGUAUGAUGUUUAUGUAUGAAUGUGUUGGAAUGUAUGAUGUUUAUGUAUGAAUAUGUUGGAACGUAUAAUGUUUAUGUUCAUUGAUAUGAGUGAUGCUUAUGAAUGUUUUGCUAUGCAUGAAGGGAUCCAUGCUUUUGAUAUGUGAACCAUGUUGGUUGUAACACUUAGUAUCACAUACUUUGUGUCAAAGUACGCAUGUUGAAGCUCUGAGUUGGAGUAUAAGGGUAGGUCAGCGUAGACUAAGUGUUCCAGUGCUAGGAACGCAAAAGACUUAGAAGAAGUUGUCUAAAUUCCCUUUUCUUUAAAUAUUUGCCGAAUGGCUUGUGUGACAAAAGAUCUCAAGCAGUUGAGAGUCAAAACAUUUGUAAUGUGUAUGCCUUCUUAUAAUAGCAUUUCCUUCAGUACCUAGAGACAGAUACGUUUGGUGACUUAGCAAGUAGCUAAAUGAGGCAGGAGAUGAUGCAAUGGGUGUCUGAAUGGCCAAUAUCUCCUCACUUGGUAGAACUUGACUUCCACUUCCCAUUUGUUGAUAAGGGUUAACCAUAUGGGGGAUCCCUUGGUAUGUCUUUGCUUCGGCGGAUGCGUGGUUGUAAGCCU
rnacentral:lncRNA from 1 species